GAUGAACGCUGGCGGCGUGCCUAAUACAUGCGAGUCGAGCGAACGGACGAGAAGCUUGCUUCUCUGAUGUUAGCGGCGGACGGGUGAGUAACACGUGGAUAACCUACCUAUAAGACUGGGAUAACUUCGGGAAACCGGAGCUAAUACCGGAUAAUAUUUUGAACCGCAUGGUUCAAAAGUGAAAGACGGUCUUGCUGUCACUUAUAGAUGGAUCCGCGCUGCAUUAGCUAGUUGGUAAGGUAACGGCUUACCAAGGCAACGAUGCAUAGCCGACCUGAGAGGGCGAUCGGCCACACUGGAACUGAGACACGGUCCAGACUCCUACGGGAGGCAGCAGUAGGGAAUCUUCCGCAAAGGGCGAAAGCCUGACGGAGCAACGCCGCGUGAGUGAUGAAGGUCUUCGGAUCGUAAAACUCUGUUAUUAGGGAAGAACAUAUGUGUAAGUAACUGUGCACAUCUUGACGGUACCUAAUCAGAAAGCCACGGCUAACUACGUG
rnacentral:rRNA from 1 species